rnacentral:rRNA from 1 species
UGGGGAAUUUUGGACAAUGGGGGAAACCCUGAUCCAGCCAUCCCGCGUGUGCGAUGAAGGCCUUCGGGUUGUAAAGCACUUUUGUCAGGAAAGAAACGUCAUGGGUUAAUACCCCGUGAAACUGACGGUACCUGCAGAAUAAGCACCGGCUAACUACGUGCCAGCAGCCGCGGUAAUACGUAGGGUGCAAGCGUUAAUCGGAAUUACUGGGCGUAAAGCGUGCGCAGGCGGUUCGGAAAGAAAGAUGUGAAAUCCCAGAGCUCAACUUUGGAACUGCAUUUUUAACUACCGGGCUAGAGUGUGUCAGAGGGGGGUGGAAUUCCGCGUGUAGCAGUGAAAUGCGUAGAUAUGCGGAGGAACACCGAUGGCGAAGGCAGCCUCCUGGGAUAACACUGACGCUCAUGCACGAAAGCGUGGGGAGCAAACAGG